rnacentral:rRNA from 1 species
AUUGAACGCUGGCGGCAGGCCUAACACAUGCAAGUCGAACGAGUGGCGGACGGGUGAGUAAUGUCUGGGAAACUGCCUGAUGGAGGGGGAUAACUACUGGAAACGGUAGCUAAUACCGCAUACCAUCGGAUGUGCCCAGCUGGGAUUAGCUAGUAGGUGGGGUAAAGGCUCACCUAGGCGACGAUCCCUAGCUGGUCUGAGAGGAUGACCAGCAAAACGGGAAUUGGAACCGGGUCAAGACUCCUCGGGGGGGAAGCAGUGGGGAUUUUUGCACAAGGGGGGAAAGCUGAACGAAGCCAGGCCGGGUGUAUGAAGAAGGCCUUGGGGUGGUAAAGUAUUUUCAGAGGGGAGACGUAACCAACAGAAGAAGCACCGGCUAACUCCGUGCCAGCAGCCGCGGUAAUU